UACGAAGGGGGCUAGCGUUGCUCGGAAUGACUGGGCGUAAAGGGCGCGUAGGCGGACUGCUUUGUCGGGCGUGAAAUUCCAGGGCCCAACCUUGGGGCUGCGUUCGAGACGGGUAUUCUUGAGUUCGGAAGAGGGUCGUGGAAUUCCCAGUGUAGAGGUGAAAUUCGUAGAUAUUCGCAAGAACACCAGUGGCGAAGGCGGCUCACUGGCCCGGUACUGACGCUGAGGUGCGAAAGCGUGGGGAGCAAACAGG
rnacentral:rRNA from 1 species